UAGGGAGUCUUCGGCAAUGGACGGAAGUCUGACCGAGCAACGCCGCGUGAGUGAAGAAGGUUUUCGGAUCGUAAAGCUCUGUUGUAAGAGAAGAACGAGUGUGAGAGUGGAAAGUUCACACUGUGACGGUAUCUUACCAGAAAGGGACGGCUAACUACGUGCCAGCAGCCGCGGUAAUACGUAGGUCCCGAGCGUUGUCCGGAUUUAUUGGGCGUAAAGCGAGCGCAGGCGGUUAGAUAAGUCUGAAGUUAAAGGCUGUGGCUUAACCAUAGUAGGCUUUGGAAACUGUUUAACUUGAGUGCAAGAGGGGAGAGUGGAAUUCCAUGUGUAGCGGUGAAAUGCGUAGAUAUAUGGAGGAACACCGGUGGCGAAAGCGGCUCUCUGGCUUGUAACUGACGCUGAGGCUCGAAAGCGUGGGGAGCAAACAGGAUUAGAUACCCUGGUAGUCCACGCUGUAAACGAUGAGUGCUAGGUGUUAGACCCUUUCCGGGGUUUAGUGCCGUAGCUAACGCAUUAAGCACUCCGCCUGGGGAGUACGACCGCAAGGUUG
rnacentral:rRNA from 1 species